UACGUAGGGUGCGAGCGUUAAUCGGAAUUACUGGGCGUAAAGCGUGCGCAGGCGGUUUUGUAAGCCAGAUGUGAAAGCCCCGGGCUUAACCUGGGAAUGGCAUUUGGGACUGCAAGGCUUGAGUGCGGCAGAGGAGACUGGAAUUCCUGGUGUAGCAGUGAAAUGCGUAGAGUAUCAGGAGGAACACCGAUGGCGAAGGCAGCUCGCUGGGACGGUACUGGACGCUGAGGCGCGAAAGCGUGGGGAGCAAACAGG
rnacentral:rRNA from 1 species